UUGUACCUACGGGAGGCAGCAGUGAGGAAUAUUGGCCAAUGGGCGGUAGCCUGAACCAGCCAAGUAGCGUGAAGGAUGAAGGUUCUAUGGAUUGUAAACUUCUUUCAUAAAGGAAUAAAGUGAGGCACGUGUGCCUUUUUGUAUGUACUUUAUGAAUAAGGAUCGGCUAACUCCGUGGCAGCAGCCGCGGUAAUACGUAGGAUCCGAGCGUUAUCCGGAUUUAUUGGGUUUAAAGGGAGCGUAGAUGGGUUGUUAAGUCAGUUGUGAAAGUUUGCGGCUCAACCGUAAAAUUGCAAUUGAUACUG
rnacentral:rRNA from 1 species